rnacentral:rRNA from 1 species
CGGAACGGGUGAGUAACGCGUGAGGAACCUGCCUCAAAGAGGGGGACAACAGUUGGAAACGACUGCUAAUACCGCAUAAGCCCACGGCUCGGCAUCGAGCAGAGGGGAAAGGAGUGAUCCGCUUUGAGAUGGCCUCGCGUCCGAUUAGCUAGUUGGUGAGGUAACGGCCCACCAAGGCGACGAUCGGUAGCCGGACUGAGAGGUUGAACGGCCACAUUGGGACUGAGACACGGCCCAG